rnacentral:rRNA from 1 species
UACAGAGGUGGCAAGCGUUGUUCGGAAUUACUGGGCGUAAAGGGCGCGUAGGCGGUCUUCUAAGUCUUGUGUGAAAUCCCUCGGCUCAACUGAGGAACUGCACGGGAUACUGGAAGACUUGAGUUUGGGAGAGGGAAGCGGAAUUCCGGGUGUAGCGGUGAAAUGCGUAGAUAUCCGGAGGAACACCGGUGGCGAAGGCGGCUUCCUGGACCGAUCACUGACGCUGAGGCGCGAAAGCUAGGGGAGCAAACGGG